CAUCUCCCCACCGCGGCCGUCGACGGCCCCUUCCUCACCGGCCGUGCCACCCCGCCAUCCUCACCACUGGUGCUCACCGUGGCGCUCACCACUGACGGCGGCCUCCCCUCCGUCCCCGCCGUUGGCGCCCUCCCUGUCGGCCUUCGCCCUCCCCUCCCUCCCCGCCGGUCCCUCCCUCACCACCGGUGCUCACCGUGGUGCUCACCGCGCGGGACGACGCGCGCGGAGGCCGCCUCAGGUGGCACCAUCGGGAGGCAAGGGCAUGCGGCGAUUUGCAUCCUUGAUGGGAUCGAUGCCGCCGCCGGAGCAGCAGCAGCCGUCUCCUUCCUCGCCGGCAUCGAACGGCGGGCGACGACGGUGUCCCUCGGCUUGCUUGUGGAUUUGGGAUGGCCCACCUAUAUGAGAAAGAAGAGAGAGGGGAGGGGUAUAGUUCACAAGAAGAUAGAAGCUCUAGGGGGCGUUCUGCAAAUAAACUUAGAGCUAAAGAGUAUGACAUGUGGGUCCCAUGAACUAAGGGCAAAAAGGACAAUUCACCCUCAAAAUCUCCUUUCCUGGAGCUGGGGAUAACUUUCAUGCCAAACACACCAUCCAGCCAGCUCCAACUCCACCCAGAGCUAGCUCUGGCUGGAGUUUUGGAGUGGAGCUGCUCCAUGCAGAGCUGGAGCCAUGCCAAACAGGCCCUUACAUACCUUCUUUUUUAUAUGUGUUUGCAAAUAAAGGCAUUCAAAUGGUCAUGAUGAUGCAAUGACAAGGGACAAGAAAAUGCCUACAAGGCUCAAUUUGAGUUUAAACUUGCAAUAUCAGAAGACAAAUCAGCAACUCCUUCAUCUACAAAUGAGGUCACCGAAGAGGAUGCUUCUAGCAGUACUUCAAUACCAGGCACAACACCAACACCAACAUCGACUAUAGCAGAAGCUUUCUGAGCACAUUGAUAAGCAAUCAAGCUACUAGCUAAAAAACUUCUUCCAGUUCUUUCCAAACAAAGACGUGCUCCCGGCCUUUAUUACAAAAAAAGGCAAGAUCAAGACACACCCUACUAAAAACAACUUAAUAUAGGUAAGCAUCAGCCAUAUUUCCUUAUAUAUUUUAGGAACCGGCAAGAUCGCAGGGACUUCAGAGUCAGGUUCAUCAGCACCAAAAAAAAAUUUGUUAGGCUGUACCAUCUUUCUAGCAAUAUGUAACCAUGUAUUCCAAUUAACAACAUUUGUAUUACACAAACAAAAUUAGCAUUCGCUGCUGCAAUGUCUGUGUCAAACAUAUACAUAUUAUUAUUUAGCAAUCUUGAGAGAAGCAAAGCCUACAAAGGGGUAUCUGCAAAGCAGGGCACGCUACUUCCAAUAUAGUGCAAUAAAGGAUUUACUCCCAGUCUUCAUUAGAAACAAGACCAACGGAAAACCAUGCCGCUGCUUAGAGCACUAAGUCAGAAUGAAAACAGGUUGCCAUCAUCAGCCAUGGUUGCAGGUUAAAUUGCUAAUUCGAAUUAAAUUGCAAGCUGACAUCAGUACCUACCUCAGUACCUUGCAAGCUGACAUCAAUUUAUUGCUAAUUCGAAUUAAAUUACAAUGGCUGCAGGUUAUGAAGAGCACAGCCAUACCAGGGACUUCACAUUCAGCACCGCCUAUCCCUUCCUUAGGUGUGAUAAUGGGGUAUUUCUGUUUGAAUAGAAUCCAAUGAAAUCAUAAUUGAUCUCGAAUAAAUAACUCCUAAAGAGUCGUUUAUGUUAAGGUCGGUAUUGUGACAGGGAUAAAUAUCCGUUUGUUAAGAGAUCACGUUUACACUAUGAUAUGCUAAAGAAUGGAGAGGUAUCAGACCAAGAAGAGGUUUGUAUUGACCCCGGCUCUCUAGUAAAGUCUCAAGUGAUAUGCUAGAAAAUAUGAUAGACAGUAUAUGUAGUUAUGUAUUAUACAUGAGAAAUAAUUGUGUUGUACCAUAUAUCUACUAACAUUUCCAAUUGUCACGUUGAUGCUAAAUUUAUAUGUAUUAAUGACAUCCUACCUUGACCUAA